ensembl:lncRNA
GCUCUGCCCUCGCCGCCCCUCCCCAGAGAAGAGUGUCCAGCUUCCCGGGGCUGCCCGCCCGCCGCUGCUCCUCUGCCCACCUACCAUGAGGAGCGGCUCCUCCCACCUGCCCAUAAAAGCCAAGUGCAUGUUACCAGCAGCGGAUCAGAGCACUUUCCCGGUCCUCUCCUGUGGGAGCCCCCGAGCCUCUCUCCUGGAUCUUACUUGCUCAAGCUAAUGCCAUGAUUGCAGCAGCAUUCAACAAACGUUGUGUUCGGUGCAUUGCUACACUACUGGGUCUGCCUCUGAUAGUUAUACUCUCUUGAAGAAGUCCUCUCCCAUACAUACAUAAUAUUAAUAAAAGAAUACAGAUUGUCUUUGCUUUUUUAAAUGUUUAAACUUACUCCGAAUGGCACUGUAUCACUACAUGGAUCCUUUAUCACUGUAAAACCAAAAUGAGAUGAAGAAUGAUUUGAACUGAGUCUCUAAAAGAAAAAGUUUCAUUAUGCAUAACUAUCUCUUUUCUUUUCCCUUUGGGGGCGGAGAAUAUGUUUUAAAUGUUUUUUAAACAUAUUUCAGACCUACUGAAACAGAAUUUCUUCAAUUUUCAAAAUGACCUUUUCUACAGAGAAAGACUGUCCCUGAGAAUCUGAAACAAGUUCAGCCACCAGAUUUUUAUUACUCCCUGAAGCCCCAUCACUUUCUAAAGGAAAGUAGUUCUCAAUGACAGACUUUCCCAUAGCACUUUUGACUCUAUUUCUAGUGCCCAAUCUGAGGCUCUUGGAAGAAGGCUAAACCUCUACCAGCAGGUCAGGGAAGGUCACGGGUCUUUGGAAUUUGACAAUGAUGCACCCCUGGCAUUUGCUGGCUUACCAACAGCCCUUUAGGAAUCAUCAUGCCAACAGGCCAACCACACAACAAAAUCCUGUGCCUGCAAAGCCAAGAGCAAAGUGAUCAAACAGUCUGGCUGCAGAUUCUGACUUAUUAAUAAGCUUUCAGAAAAUAAACCAGAAUGUGUCUCUAACAGCAACAGUUUAUAGGAGAUGUUUAAUGAUUUCAGAGGUCGGCCAUACCGCAUGCCUUCCUUCUGACUCAGUGAAGAGCAGGACAGGGCAGAAGAGACGUGGACCAAGCCAGGGCAAUCAGCUGUAUCUUUUCCAUUCACAGCUAAGUUUAUUUGGAGUGACUGGAAAAACCUUCAAUGAAAACUUUUUUUUAAUAAUAAAAUAAAAGAAUUUACCCUGAGAUCAUCAGCCAGACAACAUCGAGAAAUAAUCAUGGGUUGGUAUUUUCCUCUGCCUUGUAAAAUAUUUACAAAUUGUAGGAUAAGCAAGCCCUAGAGGAUCAUAAAG